rnacentral:snoRNA from 1 species
AUUCCAUGAUGAGGGCAUUUUUGUAAUAGUUCUUUGUAGCAUUCUCAUGCCUCAUACAAGGACUCAUCAUCCAUUUGUUGGAAGGCAGUAAUCUUUUUCCUCAACUU